rnacentral:lncRNA from 1 species
AGUUAGGAAACAAGGCGUUGCAAUUCUUGGUUCUUCAUCUACAGAUUGUUUUCUCCACUCCAACUGUUUUUAACCAUGUGUGCCAUCCUUUGGACAUGCUUUAAAUAAGUGAAAUUAUCAACGCACAUUUGCCACUUUUCAUUAGCUUUCUUUACCAUUAUGGAGUUUGCUAGACUCAAGAUGUAUGAUCUCAUGGAUUAUCUUGAGGACAUGUGUAGUGACUACCGGCCUUCUAUUGAAGAUUUGAUAUUUCACGCAGACUAUAUGUUUUUCAGACUUAACACUACUCUUUUCUCUACGGACACACUAACGCAAUGUGGAAAUACACAUUUUGUUGUUCCACCUUGCUAAAUAUCCACUCAAACAAGUGAUUAUUAACUACAAUUUUUGUGGAAGGCUUCACACAUGGCCUCUCAAAAUAAGCGCCUUAUCUGUCUCGCAUAAGCGAAACUCAAGUUAUUGCUAUAGGUACGUUUGUAUGUUGUA